rnacentral:rRNA from 1 species
GUGUCAGCAGCCGCGGUAAUACGAAGGGGGCUAGCGUUGUUCGGAUUUACUGGGCGUAAAGCGCACGUAGGCGGAUCGUUAAGUCGGGGGUGAAAUCCUGGAGCUCAACUCCAGAACUGCCUUCGAUACUGGCGAUCUUGAGUCCGGAAGAGGUGAGUGGAACUCCUAGUGUAGAGGUGGAAUUCGUAGAUAUUAGGAAGAACACCAGUGGCGAAGGCGGCUCACUGGUCCGGUACUGACGCUGAGGUGCGAAAGCGUGGGGAGCAAACAGGAUUAGAAACCCCCGUAGUCC